rnacentral:lncRNA from 1 species
CGCGCCCCACGCGCCCUAGGGUUACUGUCAACAGGUUCUUCAGUUUUGCUCGUCCGGCGACGCCCCUGUUUGGCUCCAGUUUUGUUGCAGCUGGUCAACAGUCUCUUUUCUUGCGCGGGCGUGCCAGCACCGUUCGGGUGCGGUCGUCGGGGGUGUCCCUUGACCUGACUUCUUUCAAGAGAUUGUGGACGAGGAGAGCACCAACCUCAUCAUGGGAUUCUUUGUGCCUCGUGGCGAGGACUUUUGCUGAGCUUCUUGAAAAUCACAAUCGAUACUCGAUGUUGUAGAUCGAGCAGAGCGAGAACCACCGGGAAAUGAGGAGAACUUGCUAAAGCGUUACUUUAGCUUGGCUGGGUUGCUAGGGCGUUACCCUUGCUUGGCUGAUUCUGUAACCGUUGUGGUCGCGGCACUACCGUCGGCUCCCGAGGAGACUAGGGCCGAAGUACG